GACGAACGCUGGCGGCGCGCUUAACACAUGCAAGUCGAACGGAAAGGCCUGCUUUCCCUUGUGGAUUGCGGGUACUCGAGUGGCGAACGGGUGAGUAACACGUGAGUGAUCUGCCCCCAACUUGGGUAUAAGCCUGGGAAACUGGGUCUAAUUCCCGAUAGGACUGCAGGGUGGUGCCUGUGGUGGAGAACGAUUUUCUAGUGGUUGGGGAUGAGCUCGCGGCCUAUCAGGUUGUUGGUGGGGUAAUGGCCUACCAAGGCGGCGACGGGUAGCCGGCCUGAGAGGGUGGACGGGCACAUUGGGACUGAGAUACGGCCCAGACUCCUACGGGAGGCAGCAGUGGGGAAUAUGGCACAAUGGGCGGAAGCCUGAGGCAGCGACGCCGCGUGGGGGAUGACGGCCUUCGGGUGGUAAACUCCUUUCGACCGCGAGGAAGCCACCUGGUUGGAAGGGUGGUGACGGUAGUGGUAGAAGAAGCACCGGCUAACUACGUG
rnacentral:rRNA from 1 species